AAAACAUUCAACUGUAAGAUGAAGGUACACUGAAAGGUUUCUGUUGUUUUUCUUAAAGCCAUAUGCUCAUCAAGUUCUACAGUCUACUCCAUAUGUCUCCUUGGACAUCUGAUAAGCUUCAAAAUGAUGUGCAGUGGCUCACUCCUGUAAUCACAACACUUUGGAAGGCUGAGGCAGGAGGAUCGCUUAAGCUGAGGAGUUCAAAACCAGCUUGGCUACAACAAGUCUCUGAAGAUGAACUUGGAUUUAGUUUUCUUCACAAUCUUUUUAGUUAACUCACAAGUGGAAUCAGUUUUUAUUUGUUGUACUGGCACACAAAUUUUAUCUUUAUAAUCAUUAUGUUUACUAAAUUUUUUACUAUAUAUCUCUUGUCUUUCUUAUUAUGAGAAAUGAAAUUCUAUGUACUUGGAAGACUUGGCAUGAUUCAAUAAGUGACAGCAACUCUAGAUCAAUGAUUUUGACAGAAUUUCCCAGCAAUGAGCCUUAAAGGUGACAAGGGGCACCUUCAUAUUUACAUUUUGAUCAUCAAUGCAUAAAAAGGAAAAAAUGAGAAAAGGAAGUCACUUUUAUCUAAGGAAUGCAAGUCCUUUUAACUAUCAGCCCCCAAAAGACAUUAAAAUGAGAUUGCAAUCAUACCCUACUGUCUGAUUUGAGCUAUGUAUUUAUAUCUUGAACCUGCUUUUUGCUGCCACCAGUAGCUACAAAUUGACAUAAUAUUGCCACAGCAGACGCUAUAACCCAUACCUUGCAGCUUACUAAUGUAUAAAUGUAUGGCCAAUCAUGAAUCAAUGUUAUUUUCAUAAGCCAAUGAGAAUUCCUGACAACUUUGUGUCAGUCCACUUUCUGCACCCACCCCCAGUUUUGCCUUUAAAAAUUCA
rnacentral:lncRNA from 13 species